GAUGAACGCUGGCGGCGUGCCUAAUACAUGCAAGUCGAGCGAACGGACGAGAAGCUUGCUUCUCUGAUGUUAGCGGCGGACGGGUGAGUAACACGUGGAUAACCUACCUAUAAGACUGGGAUAACUUCGGGAAACCGGAUCUAAUACCGGAUGAUAUUUUGAACCGCAUGGUUCAAAAGUGAAAGACGGUCUUGCUGUCACUUAUAGAUGGAUCCGCGCUGCAUUAGCUAGUUGGUAAGGUAACGGCUUACCAAGGCAACGAUGCAUAGCCGACCUGAGAGGGUGAUCCGCCACACUGGAACUGAGACACGGUCCAGACUCCUACGGGAGGCAGCAGUAGGGAAUCUUCCGCAAUGGGCGAAAGCCUGACGGAGCAGCGCCGCGUGAGUGAUGAAGGUCUUCGGAUCGUAAAACUCUGUUAUUAGGGAAGAACAUAUGUGUAAGUAACUGUGCACAUCUUGACGGUACCUAAUCAGAAAGCCACGGCUAACUACGUG
rnacentral:rRNA from 1 species